rnacentral:rRNA from 1 species
CCUACGGGAGGCUGCAGUGGGGAAUAUUGGACAAUGGGGGGAACCCUGAUCCAGCGACGCCGCGUGAGUGAAGAAGUAUUUCGGUAUGUAAACCUCUAUCAGCCGGGAAGAAAGAAAUGAAGGUACCUGCCUAAGAAGCCCCGGCUAACUACGUGCCCGCAGCAGCGGUAAUACGUAGGGGGCAAGCGUUAUCCGGAUUUACGGGUUGUAAGGGGAGCGUAGACGGGGAUGCAAGUCUGAGGUGAAAGGCGGGGGCCCAACCCCUGGACUGCUUUGGAUACUGUAUGGCUGGAGUGCCGGAGAGGUAAGUGGAAUUCCUGGUGUAGCGGUGAAAUGCGUAGAUAUUAGGCGGAACACCAGUGGCGAAGGCGGCUUACUGGACUGUAACUGACGUUGAGGCUCGAAAGCGUGGGUAGCAAACAGGAUUAGAUACCCUUGUAGUC